AGCUGCGUGGCGUGCACAAAGCGAACUAUUCUUUCGCCUUUUACUAAAGAAUACCGUGUGCCCACCACUCCGAGCAGCAUACGCUUAUUUUUAUAAAGGGUAUUCCUGUCUUU